rnacentral:pre_miRNA from 16 species
UGAAAAAGGAGCAAGUUUGAGAUACCUAUUCUGCGCAACUCCAAAAGCCGUGAAAAUCCAAAAUAAUUCCUCGUUGAUUUUCACGGCUUUUGGAGUUGCGCAGAAUAGGUAUCUCAAACUUGCUCCUUUUUCA